rnacentral:rRNA from 1 species
UACAUAGGGGGCAAGCGUUGUUCGGAAUUACUGGGCGUAAAGGGCGCGUAGGCGGCCAUCUAAGUCAGACGUGAAAUCCCCCGGCUUAACCUGGGAACUGCGUCUGAUACUGGACGGCUGGAGUUUGGGAGAGGGAUGUAGAAUUCCAGGUGUAGCGGUGAAAUGCGUAGAUAUCUGGAGGAAUACCGGUGGCGAAGGCGGCAUCCUGGACCAAUACUGACGCUGAGGCGCGAAAGCUAGGGGAGCAAACGGG